rnacentral:rRNA from 1 species
GGCUUUACGGGAGGCAGCAGUAGGGAAUCUUCCACAAUGGACGCAAGUCUGAUGGAGCAACGCCGCGUGAGUGAAGAAGGGUUUCGGCUCGUAAAGCUCUGUUGUUGGUGAAGAAGGAUAGAGGUAGUAACUGGCCUUUAUNNGACGGUAAUCAACCAGAAAGUCACGGCUAANUACGUNCCAGCA